UCUCUCUUUCUCCUCCCACAUACAGACCCAUGCCUCUCAGCCUCCCAAAAAGACCGGAUUAGCAAGAUAUUGAUUUCCGGAUUAGAGAGGGUGUUGGUUUUAGGACAUAAAUUUUGGGUUUGGAGAAGCUUCUAAGUGGGUCAAGGGGAAGCAAUUGGAAGAAGUUGUGGCCAUUAAAAACAC